rnacentral:rRNA from 1 species
AAUAAUGCGCAAUGGAGGGAACUCUGACGCAGCGACGCCGCGUGAGCGAUGAAGGUCUUCGGAUCGUAAAGCUCUGUCCUUGGGGAAGAAGGUCUUCGGACUUGACGGUACCUAAGGAGGAAGCACCGGCUAACUCCGUGCCAGCAGCCGCGGUCAUACGUAGGGGGCAAGCGUUGUCCGGAAGUAUUGGGCGUAAAGGGUUGGUAGGCGGGCUUUUAAGUCAGAUGUGAAAGCCCACGGCUUAACCGUGGGACUGCAUUUGAAACUGGAGGGCUUGAGUAUCGGAGAGGGUAGUGGAAUUCCCAGUGUAGCGGUGGAAUGCGAAGAUAUUGGGAGGAACACCAGUGGCGAAGGCGACUACCUGGACGAAAACUGACGCUGAGGCACGAAAGCUAGGGGAGCAAACA